CAGGUAUAUGGGUGUACUCUUUAGCCCUACAGAUGUUCCCAGGAGUGGUAUAACUGUUCUAUUUUAAGUUAUAACAGCACAAGUAAAAGGUAUCAUAUAGAAGUGGACAUAUAGAUGUGGCAGGUAUUUGGGUGUGCUCUUUAGCCCUACAGAUGUUUCGUAGUGUGGUAUAACUAUUCCAUUUUAAGCUAUAACCGCACAACCCAAGGCUACCAUAUAGAAGUAGAUAGAUAGAAGUGGCAGGUAUAUUGGUGUACUCUUUAGCCCUACAGAUGUUCCGAGGAGUGGUAUAACUGUUUUAUUUUAAACUAUAACACCACAAGUAAAGCGGACCAUAUAGAAUUGGACAUAUAGAUGUGGCAGGUAUUUGGGUGUGCUCUUUACCCCUACAGAUGUUCGGGGGUGUUGUAUAAUUGUUCCAUUUUAAGCUAUAACCGCACAACCCAAGGCUAUCAUAUAGAAGUAGAUAGAUAGAAGUGGCAGGUAUAUGGGUGUACUAUUUAGCCCUACAGAUGUUCCGAGGCGUGGUAUAACUGUUCUAUUUUAAGUUAUAACAGCACAAGUAAAGGGUACCAUAUAAAAGUGGACAUAUAGAUGUGGCAGGUAUUUGGGUGUGCUCUUUAGCCCUACAGAUAUUCCGGGGUGUGGUAUAACUAUUCCAUUUUAAGCUAUAACCGUACAACCCAAGGCUACCAUAUAGAAAUAGAUAGAUAAAAGUGGCAGGUAUAUGGAUGUACUCUUUAGCCCUACAGAUGUUUCGGGGUGUUGUAUAACUGUUCCAUUUUAAGCUAUAACCGCACAACCCAAGGCUACCAUAUAAGUAGAUAGAUAGAAGUGACAGGUAUAUGGGUGUACUCUUUAGCCCUACUGAUGUUCCGGGGUGUGGUAUAACUGUUCCAUUUUAAUCUAGAACCACACAACCCAAGGCGACCAGAUAGUAGAUAGAUAGAAGUGACAGCUAUAUGGGUGUACUCUUUAGCCCUGUAGAUAUUCCGGAGUGUGGUAUAACUAUUUCAUUUUAAGUUAUAACCGCACAACCCAAGGCUACCAUAUAGAAGUAGAUAGAUAGAAGUGGCAGAUAUAUGGAUGUACUCUUUGGCCCUACAGAUGUUCCGACCAGUGGUAUAACUGUUCUAUUUUAAACUAUAACAGCACAAGUAAAGCGGACCAUAUAGAAUUGGACAUAUAGAUGUGGCGGAUAUUUGGGUGUGCUCUUUACCCUUACAGAUGCUUCAGGGUGUGGUAUAAUUGUUCCAUUUUAAGCUAUAACCGCACAACCCAAGGCUACCAUAUAGAAGUAGAUAGAGAGAAGUGGCAGGUAUAUGGGUGUACUUUUUAGCCCUACAGAUGUUCCCAGGAGUGGUAUAACUGUUCUAUUUUAAGUUAUAACAGCACAAGUAAAAGGUACCAUAUAGAAGUGGACAUAUAGAUGUGGCAGGUAUUUGGGUGUGCUCUUUGCCUAAGAUUAUUACGUGCGGUGGUGGUUAGGGCUUGGAUAACGAGCGAGCGGCUCGCGUGUCGCACUAGUGUUCGGCUCGAUAGUUUUGUACACGACUGAACAUACCCACCGAGACACGCUCGCUCUGAGCUCGAUCGAAAUUAAAUGAGCGAGCUUUGAACAAUAAGCUCGAUUCGUUUCAGCACGAGCUUGUAGUAUUACUCGGCUCGUUCGGAAUUAGGCUCGAAAGCUCGAAAGCGUCGAAUAUAUUAUAUAAUUAGAUAAUAUAUAUAUAUAGAUAGGUAGCAUACUUGUAAGUAUCAUGGGGGUUGUAUACUUUGAUGUUUUUAGCCUCGGAUGAGAGAUGUGAGGUUGGAUGAUUGGUGGUACGGUGGUGGUAGGUGGUGGUAGGUGGAAAAGUGUUUGAUCCAAAGGCUAUUUGUAAUCAAAAAGUAGAUCCAAUGGCUAAAAACGUGAUAGCAACAUGGGGAUGAUAUUUAUAAAUAUAAUGCAUUUUAAUUAUAUAUAGGCUUUAAUUUAAUUUGGGCCAUUAUUGUUGGCCCAUAAAAUAAACCCAACAAGUACAAUCGUACAAUUGAGCCCAACUCUAAAUUUACAUAACACACUCUCUCUUUCAGACUUUCACUGUUGCACAUAACCCUAAAAUAUAAUAACAUUCAAAUUUCCAAAUCCCUACUUUUUUUCCUCUCUCUCUCUCUCUCUCUCUCUCUCUCUCGUUCUCCCUCAGACCCUCAUCUAGUCAGGAAGUCACCCUAGCUCACAUUUCUUAUAAUUAUUUUGUAUUUUGAACUAUUGGACAUGUUGCAUCAAAUUGUAGGUAAUGUUCUAUAAAAAUUAAACUAUUUAUUAUAUAAUGUCAAGAAUUUCAAUCGGCUCGUUUAGAGCUCGAGCUCGGCUCGACUCGAAAUUAGGCUCGCUCGAGCUCGGCUCGAAUUAAUUUAGCCUGAGCUUGCUAGAUUUGAUGCGAAUUAGAUUUCAAGCCGAAUUUGAGCUGCAUAGUCGCUCUGAGUCAGUCGCUUUCCACCCCUAGGUUAUAUAACUGUUCCAUUUUAAGCUGUAACCGCACAACCCAAGGCUACCAUAUAGAAGUAGAUAGAUAGAAGUGGCAGUUAUAUGGGUAUACUCUUUAACACUACAGAUGUUCCGAGUAGUAGUAUAACUGUUCUAUUUUAAGCUAUAACAGCACAAGUAAAGGGUACCAUAUAGAAGUGGACAUAUAAAUGUGGCAGGUAUUUGGGUGUGUUCUUUAGCCCUACAGAUGUUCCGGGGUAUGGUAUAACAGUUCCAUUUUAAGCUAUAAUCACACAAUCCAAGGCUGCCAUAUAAAAGUAGAUAGAUACAAGUGGCAGGUAUAUGGGUGUACUCUUUAGCCCUACAGAUGUUCCGAGGAGUGGUAUAACUGUUCUAUUUUAAGCUAUAACAGCAAAAGUAAAGGGUAUCAUAUAGAAGUGGACAUAUAGAUGUGGCAGGUAUUUGGGUGUGCUCUUUAGCCCUACAGAUAUUCCGGGGUGUGGUAUAACUGUUCCAUUUUAAGCUGCAACCGCACAACUCAAGACUACCAUAUAGAAGUAAAUAGAUAGAAGUGGCAGGUAUAUGGGUGUACUCUUUAGCCCUACAGAUGUUUCGAGGUGUGGUAUAACUGUUCUAUUUUAAGCUAUAACAGCACAAGUAAAGGGUACC
rnacentral:lncRNA from 1 species